rnacentral:rRNA from 1 species
AUUGAACGCUGGCGGCAGGCCUAACACAUGCAAGUCGAACGGUAGCACAGAGAGCUUGCUCUCGGGUGACGAGUGGCGGACGGGUGAGUAAUGUCUGGGAAACUGCCCGAUGGAGGGGGAUAACUACUGGAAACGGUAGCUAAUACCGCAUAAUGUCGCAAGACCAAAGAGGGGGACCUUCGGGCCUCUUGCCAUCGGAUAUGCCCAGAUGGGAUUAGCUAGUUGGUGAGGUAAUGGCUCACCAAGGCGACGAUCCCUAGCUGGUCUGAGAGGAUGACCAGCCACACUGGAACUGAGACACGGUCCAGACUCCUACGGGAGGCAGCAGUGGGGAAUAUUGCACAAUGGGCGCAAGCCUGAUGCAGCCAUGCCGCGUGUAUGAAGAAGGCCUUCGGGUUGUAAAGUACUUUCAGCGGGGAGGAAGGCGAUACGGUUAAUAACCGUAUUGAUUGACGUUACCCGCAGAAGAAGCACCGGCUAACUCCGUG